GAGGGAUCUCUUAAAGGACUUUAGGCUUGGGGAAGAUUUGAAAGUGUUAAGGAGGUCGUUCCACAAUUGUGGCACUCUGUAGGAGAAGGAGCAUCGGGCUGCUUUUUUUUUUGUGUUGAGGUAGACUAAAUAAAGUGCUAGUACUGGAUCGGAGGUUAUAGGAGGUGGGAACAGCCGAAAGAGUAUUUUUUUCAGGUAGGGUGGGA